UACGUAGGGGGCAAGCGUUGUCCGGAUUUAUUGGGCGUAAAGAGCGUGUAGGCGGUCAGGUAGGUCCGUUGUGAAAACUCGAGGCUCAACCUCGAGACGCCGAUGGAAACCAUCUGACUAGAGUCCGGAAGAGGAGAGUGGAAUUCCUGGUGUAGCGGUGAAAUGCGCAGAUAUCAGGAAGAACACCCGUGGCUAAGGCGGCUCUCUAGUACGGUACUGACGCUGAGACGCGAAAGCUGGGGAGCAAACAGG
rnacentral:rRNA from 1 species